ACCCGCUGAACUUAAGCAUAUCAAUAAGCGGAGGAAAAGAAACCAACAGGGAUUGCCCUAGUAACGGUGAGUGAAGCGGCAACAGCUCAAAUUUGAAAUCUGGCUCUUUUAGAGUCCGAGUUGUAAUUUGCAGAGGGCGCUUUGGCUUUGGCAGCGGUCCAAGUUCCUUGGAACAGGACGUCACAGAGGGUGAGAAUCCCGUACGUGGUCGCUGGCUAUUGCCGUGUAAAGCCCCUUCGACGAGUCGAGUUGUUUGGGAAUGCAGCUCUAAAUGGGAGGUACAUUUCUUCUAAAGCUAAAUAUUGGCCAGAGACCGAUAGCGCACAAGUAGAGUGAUCGAAAGAUGAAAAGCACUUUGGAAAGAGAGUCAAACAGCACGUGAAAUUGUUGAAAGGGAAGCGCUUGCAGCCAGACUUGCUUACAGUUGCUCAUCCGGGCUUUUGCCCGGUGCACUCUUCUGUAGGCAGGCCAGCAUCAGUUUGGGCGGUAGGAUAAAGGUCUCUGUCACGUACCUCUCUUCGGGGAGGCCUUAUAGGGGAGACGACAUACUACCAGCCUGGACUGAGGUCCGCGCAUCUGCUAGGAUGCUGGCGUAAUGGCUGU
rnacentral:rRNA from 1 species